CCCUCUUUUCAUUUUCCUCCAUACCCACGCCGCACCCCUUUCUUCCUCUUUCUCUUCUUCUCCUCCUUUCCCGCCUCUCUCCGCCGCUCCUCUCUCUCCCCCUUUUCCUCCUUCUUCUCCGCCUCCCCACUCACGCCUGUCCCCGCUCCCGUCUCUCUCAUACGCUCCUAUCCUUACUUUAAUACAAACAAAAAGCCCUAUAAAUUUGGGGGGAUUCAGUGUUUUUGAAAAAGGGAGAUGGGACGGUUUCCUUGAGAGGAGUUUUGAAAAUUCCAAACCUUAUUUCUAUUUGCUCUUUUAUUUUUCGAAGUCAAGCAUAUAAAAAUUUCGAGGGAUUUUUUUCAGAUUUUUUUGAGAAAGUUGAUUCAGUUUUGAGGGACACAACUAUCUUCCACACUUGAUUUUUCUUUUUCCGGUGAACUUUAGCCGCGACCAACAAUUACUCUAUUUUCAUUUUUUCGUUUUGAAACUUUAGUUACUUUAAUCGGGUUCGGGUUCGUUCGAGUUCGAGCAUAGAUUCGAGACCCCGACGACCUCCGUUCACUGCACCCACAACAGGCUGCGAGAAUUCUUGGUCACGUGAUUGUUGCAGGUUCUGGAGUAAUGACUUAGCGUUUGCUCAGGAAGGUCAUCAGGCACUUGCAAGCAAGUGUUUGUGGACAUAGGGCCACUUUGAUUCUCUCUUUGCAAUAGUUAAUUUAGCAUUUUACAACCUCAAAAGAGCAAAAUAAAUAAAUUUGGGCUUUACUAAAUCCAUACGGUGCUAUUUGUCAAAUACACCAGCUCUUGAGGUGUUUUUGCACGGAAAGCAAGUGCAAAUGAAAAUCCAUCUGUACGAACAAGCUUUUGGACCUUCAAAUUACAGUACAUACGUAUAUUGAAUUUGUAUGAUGACUCAGUUACCUGGUGAAAAUAUGUGCCUGAAGCGGUGACACCUUUAUUACUUGCCUACAAAUGUUUGAUUUAUACUUUACAAUGUGGUUGGUUAAUGGAAGAUGGCACAACAGUCAGUGCUGCUCAAGAAGCAAUUUACAAUAUCACUGAUCAAGCAUUACCAUGAUCAAAUCAGAGGCUAGGGAAAUUAUUUUAGCUGUGCUUCUGCUAGAGAUUCUCCUAGUCUUUACGGAGCAUAUCUGGCAGUAAAAUCUACCGAGUCACAUUGAAACAAUGCCCUUGAUAUGGCGGAAUAGACGGCAGAGGAACAAUGAACGGCGAGGACAUUGAGAGAGAAAGUAGUGUCUCAUGGUAAUUUGUCAUUGGAAGUGUAAGAUUUCACCUCUUACAAAAAGUACAAAUGGUUAGCUAUUUGAUGGAGUCUAUCAGGAAUGAGGAGAGGAGAAAGGGAGAAGCCGAGCUCGAGGAGUAAGCCGCUCCACAGAAGGAUUAGUAAAGUAGUGGUAACAACUUACCCGUUCUAUGUGUUUACACCAACCCUUUAAUACAUGACACAUGUCUUCACGUACAUCUAUUAUUAAAUUGUUGUUAACCAUGGUACAUAUGCUUACGUUAAUUAAUGAAUUAACCAUGGUAACCUAGUAAAGCAUCGGCGUAAACAUUGAAUGCGGGUAACUUUUACCAGAUAUAUGCCGAGACAUUUGGUUGCACUUUGAUCGUUCUCGUGAAGAGGCGAGUUUUCCUAAAUGUGAUAAUGCUGGCCGUUGGUUAUUUCCUCUACUGCUAUAUCUUGAUAGCCGUAAAUUAGUUAAACCUAUUUUUCUAUUGUGAAUGUAAUUGGAUUCAUUCAGUUAAAUGAGGUGCUUCCUUAUAAAAAUAGGAGGUACUACUAAAAUGUUGAUAUA